rnacentral:rRNA from 1 species
UACGUAGGGGGCUAGCGUUGUCCGGAAUCAUUGGGCGUAAAGAGCGUGUAGGCGGUCCGGUAAGUCCGUUGUGAAAGUCAGGGGCUCAACCCUUGAAUGCCGGCGGAUACUGUCGGGCUAGAGUCCGGAAGAGGCGAGUGGAAUUCCCGGUGUAGCGGUGAAAUGCGCAGAUAUCAGGAGGAACACCAAUAGCGAAGGCAGCUCGCUGGGACGGUAUUGACGCUAAGGCGCGAAAGCGUGGGGAGCAAACAGG